AUUGAACGCUGGCGGCAGGCUUAACACAUGCAAGUCGAGCGGGGGAUUGUAGCUUGCUACAUGACCUAGCGGCGGACGGGUGAGUAAUACUUAGGAAUCUGCCUAUUAGUGGGGGACAACGUUCCGAAAGGAGCGCUAAUACCGCAUACGCCCUACGGGGGAAAGCAGGGGAUCUUCGGACCUUGCGCUAAUAGAUGAGCCUAAGUCGGAUUAGCUAGUUGGUAGGGUAAAGGCCUACCAAGGCGACGAUCUGUAGCGGGUUUGAGAGGAUGAUCCGCCACACUGGGACUGAGACACGGCCCAGACUCCUACGGGAGGCAGCAGUGGGGAAUAUUGGACAAUGGGCGCAAGCCUGAUCCAGCCAUGCCGCGUGUGUGAAGAAGGCCUUAUGGUUGUAAAGCACUUUAAGCGAGGAGGAGGCUUACCUAGAUAAUACCUAGGAUAAGUGGACGUUACUCGCAGAAUAAGCACCGGCUAACUCUGUGCCAGCAGCCGCAGUAAGAC
rnacentral:rRNA from 1 species